UGGUGCCCAGCGUGGGGGCUCCUGGCACAGGGGAGUCAAUGAGGGAGCCAUUCGAGAAAGCCGGCUGAAAGUGAAAGCAAAUUGAACCAAAGACCGCAGCGAGAAGUGAGCAAACUAAAUCAAGAAUCGCAGCUAAAAGCAAAAGCAUAUUAAAUCAAGGAAUGAGGCCCACGCGGACAACUACCCGGCAUCCCGCCCGAGUCAUGGUGAGUGAAUGGCGACCCCAUUCCCUUUCCUGGACAUGAAUCAAGCACUGAGUGAACACGAAUUGUUUGUGGGAGGCCUUAUAAAGGCAUGAAAGACAAGAGGGGUAAGGGUUAGAAUAAAAGAAUUAUUGCAAUAUUUUCAAUUUAUUCAUAAGGUUUGCCUUG
rfam:Cavia porcellus supercont2_16 genomic scaffold, whole genome shotgun sequence.